CAAACCAAAACGAAUAUAGCUAAGCUUUUGCUUUUUUAACCUAUUUACAAUUUUUCGUGUAAUCGUUUCUCGAAAUGAAGGGUAAAAUACAUUUUUCGUGUGAUUUUUUUUUGUUUACGCGCCAUUUAUCCGGACAAUGUUUUCGCCGUCUUCGCGGAUUGAAAAAACUGAAAACAUGGAUGAAUUCAGGAGUUCAGAUGGGAUUGAACUGACCGGAUUUAUUUCGGUAGUUCCUCGCUCAUCUUUCGGUGUUGAUGGAGCUUCCGGAAAGUUUCUAAGCUUCUGCUUAAGACGAUGGGCCGCAAUUUUAGCAGAAAGAUGGUACUGGUGGAUGAUCCGGAAAAAUAUACUGGAUCUGGAUGGUUUCUUUGAGUAGUAAGGUGCCGCGCAAAAGUUUUGGAAGCCGAAAAGAAAACGAAAGCAUCGGAGUACGGCGGUACUAACUAUGAUCUGCUUCAUGAGAGAAGAUUCAAGACGGUAACACACGGUAAUGACUUUCACCAGAGUCAUUUGCAGAUAUUGUGAAGCCACCAGAGCCCGGCCAUGUUUUUACCACGCCCAAAGGAUGAGCUGCAUAACAAAAAAAAAUAUGUUGUGAUUUUUGUUAAA